rnacentral:rRNA from 1 species
UGGGGAAUCAUGGUCAAUGGGCGAAAGCCUGAACCUGCGACGCCGCGUGAGUGAUGAAGGUCGUACGAUCGUAAAACUCUUUUCAGGGAUCUUAAAGCCUGUCUGUCAACAACAGGCAGGUCUGACUCUCCCUGGAAGAAGCCCCAGCCAACUACGUGCCAGCAGCUGCGGUAAUACGUAGGGGGCGAGCGUUAUUCGGAAUUACUGGGUGUAAAGGGUAUGUAGGCGGACCUUCAAGUCGCGUGUCAAAGUCCAGUGCUCAACGCUGGGUGUGCGCGGGAGACUGACGGGCUUGAGGGCUGGAGAGGUGAGCGGAAUUCCCGGUGUAGUGGUAAAAUACGUAGAGAUCGGGAGGAACACCAGCGGCGCAGGCGGCUCACUAGACAGUUUCUGACGCUAAGAUACGAAAGCGUGGGGAGCAAACA